rnacentral:lncRNA from 1 species
CGGCGCCUGCCUUGGCGCUGGCCGGCUACAUCGAGGUGGGGACCGGGCGAACGCCGGAGAGUCGUCUCCUUCGCCCGCCGGAGGAGCGCGGACUGCGGGCGGGCAGCGGGGUCCGCGGCAGGGCGGGCCGGCGGUGCGGCGCCGGGGGUCCGGCUCUGCGGCGGGUCUGGCGCGCCCUCCCCCGCCCGUCCCUGCUUGGCGCAGUGCUUAGCGCUGGAGGUCGGGCUGCCUCAGCCGCCGCAGAGGCCAAAUGAAAGGCGUCGGGGCUGCUGGGGGCGGCCGUCCGCCUCGGCCGACCCAGCCCCCAACCCGCCCGCGGCGCCGCCACCUCCUCCGGGGACCCAGUGCCCCCGGGCGCCCGCCCCGCCCUCCCCCGGGACAAUGCCAGGGCGCUCCUCUCCCGCCGGAGUCCGCGGCUGGGCUUUCUCCAGGGGCGGCCCCGCGCGGACCCCGUACGCUCCCUCGCGCGGCACCGGGGCCUCGGCUCCGGGCCUCCCACCUGCGAGCGGCGGGCUUCGCCUUUGUUGCCAGGUGGACGCGGCCCCGGCCUUCGCGCGCGGCAGGGAUGCUGCGAGCCCCGGGGGAGCUCCCGCGCCAGGCCGCCCGCUGCUCCCUCUGCCGCCUGGGGCCGGGUCGCGGACGCGCAUUUUUUAAGUGGCGCUGUUUGCCUGCGUCCGUAGACCGAGGAAACCCGCUCUGGGUGCGUUGACCGCUUUCGUGAGGGUUUCAGUGAGUAGGGAAGGUGCCCGCGAAGGCGUGUAAACUGUUGGAAAAAUCGUCCUCUUCGGGUGUCAGAAUUCCAUCAGUGGUUGUGCUUCGAGGUCGCACCCUGAGCAUCCCCGCUGCGAGAAAGGCGAAGCGGCAGGGCCGGGGGUUGGGGAGGCCGCGGGAGGGGGCGGGGGCGGCGGGGUCCGCGGUGCGGGCCGGAGCGGGCAGCCUUGGAGGAGCCCUGCUGUGGCCGAGGGAGACGGCGAGCUUGAUCUUUACUUCCCUUCUCGAAGUGGUGCUUGAACUGCUGGUCUGGAAUGUGUAGUUCUGGUGUCGUUUAUUUCUUCUCCCUCUUCGCUCUUUUAAAAAUUACAACUGGUUUCUGCAUACUUAGCUAAUUUCAGAGAGACCUGAAGACUGGAUUUGAUUGGGCAUUAAUUGAGAGCUUUCUUUUAAAGACCUCAGGUUUAGAAUAUAUUUACUUCUACAGAAUGUUCAAGUAUUUCCACGGGUAAAAAUAAAUCUAAUAAAAAGCCUCUCUGAUGGAACGGCUUAACACCUUUGUAUUCAUCCAGUUUAAAGCUU